UCAUGUUUUGGCGGUCUUUCCGUGUACACCCCCCUUCAGUCUGCACUACAUGGACUAUUCCAUGUUACGCGCAUCACGCUCAUCCCGCGUAUACAUAAAUGAUUUAAAAUUCAAAACAGUAAAUAGCGGCAAGAGAGAAGAGAUAAAUCGAGUGAGAAAUGAAGCAAACAUACCAAAGCGGGUCACAGAAAAAUAAGAAGAAAGGCAGGAGUUUAUUUCAAAGCUGCCAAAGCUAUCAAGCCUUUUUACAGGCACUGCGGUAGCAGCGGAACAAGAGUAGCUGUCUACAUCGUUUGCUCUCACCGGUAAGUCAAGUUUUGACAGAAAGAGAGAGCGAGAGAGAGAGAGCGCACAGAUGAGGACAAACAGAGAGGAGACAAAAGCUCACAGAUGAGGAUAAACUGAGAGAGAGGAGACAAAAGCUCAUAGAUGAGGACCAAGAGAGGAGACAAAAGCUCACAGAUGAGGACAAACAGACAGAGAGAGAGAAAGAGGAGAAAAAACAAGCUCAGAGACAGGAGAAGCAAAGAAACAGUGAGACUGAAGAGGUGACACAAAUAGACCACUGUCCGUCCCCCUGCUGUGGCCUACUGGAAACCUAAGGUAAAUUAAUAAUAAACAUGAAACAUGAAAGAAGGAUAGUGACUUUUGAGUAUCUCAUUAUGCCAUAUUAGGUACAAAAGGCUAAUCGCAGGUGUUUACAUCAAGGUUUUUCCUCCCCUCUGCUUUCCAGCUGUAGUCUAAAUAACUCUGUGCCCGGCCCAAAAUGCUACCAGUCUACUUGCCAGAUUUGGGGUAGGUGACGAUCAAAACGUCAUCGUUCUUGAACUCAAACUCCGCCGCAAAUCUCAAACUCUCUUCCGUGUGCGACUCUUUGGGCAGCAGCAGUCCACGAUGAAUGAUGUACUUGUCGGAACACGUCGUCACCAUGUUGCCCUGCGAGUUUGAAGAUAG